AGUGAACGCUGGCGGCAGGCCUAACACAUGCAAGUCGAACGGCAGAACAGUGAUAGCUCGUGCAUACGGGGGGGGAGGGGUGAAUAAGGGCGGAAAACCUCGCAGGUUAUUGUGUAGAAGGUGAGAAAGUGGGGAAUCUUACGGCAAUAUCGCAUGGGGCGAACGUGGGGGAGCAUGGGAUCUUACGAUCUCGGAUGAGCGGAGGGGGCGAUGUCGGAUUAGCUAGUUGGCGGGGUAAAGGCCCACCAAGGCGACGAUCCGUAGCUGGUCUGAGAGGAUGAUCAGCCACACUGGAACUGAGACACGGUCCCGACUCCUACGGGAGGCAGCAGUGGGGAAUAUUGGACAAUGGGCGAAAGCCUGAUCCAGCCAUGCCGCGUGUGUGAAGAAGGCCUUCGGGUUGUAAAGCCCUUUUGUUUGGGAAGAAAGGCAGCAGGUUAAUACCCCGCUGUUCUGACGGUACCCACAGAAUAAGCACCGGCUAACUUCGUG
rnacentral:rRNA from 1 species